rnacentral:rRNA from 1 species
GACAUAGGUCGCGAACGUUAUCCGGAAUUAUUGGGCGUAAAGGGUGCGUAGAUGGUGUGAUAAGUUAUUGGUGGUAAAUCGAGGCUCAACCUCGUGGAAGCUGAUAAUACUGUCUCACUAGAGUUCAGGAGAGGUUAACGGAACUCCAUGUGGAGCGGUAAAAUGUGUAGAUAUAUGGAAGAACAUCAAUAAAGGCGAAGGCAGUUAACUAUUCUGUUACUGACAUUGAGGCACGAAAGCGUGGGGAGCAAAACGG